rnacentral:rRNA from 1 species
AAUAGAUACCCGGUAGUCCACGCCGUAAACGAUGAGUGCUAAGUGUUGGGGGGUUUCCGCCCCUCAGUGCUGCAGCUAACGCAUUAAGCACUCCGCCUGGGGAGUACGGUCGCAAGACUGAAACUCAAAGGAAUUGACGGGGGCCCGCACAAGCGGUGGAGCAUGUGGUUUAAUUCGAAGCAACGCGAAGAACCUUACCAGGUCUUGACAUCCCGGUGACCACUAUGGAGACAUAGUUUCCCCUUCGGGGGCAACGGUGACAGGUGGUGCAUGGUUGUCGUCAGCUCGUGUCGUGAGAUGUUGGGUUAAGUCCCGCAACGAGCGCAACCCUUAUUCUUAGUUGCCAUCAUUCAGUUGGGCACUCUAAGGAGACUGCCGGUGAUAAACCGGAGGAAGGUGGGGAUGACGUCAAAUCAUCAUGCCCCUUAUGACCUGGGCUACACACGUGCUACAAUGGACGGUACAAACGGUUGCCAACCCGCGAGGGGAGCUAAUCCGAUAAAACCGUUCUCAGUUCGGAUUGUAGGCUGCAACUCGCCUACAUGAAC